rnacentral:rRNA from 1 species
GACGUAGGGCGCGAGCGUUUGUCCGGAUUAUUGGGCGUAAAGAGCUCGUAGGCGGCUUGUCGCGUCGUUCGUGAAAACCCACAGCUCAACUGUGGGCUUGCGGUCGAUACGGGCAGGCUGGAGUUCGGUAGGGGAGACUGGAAUUCCUGGUGUAGCGGUGGAAAUGCGCAGAGUAUCAGGAGGAACACCGGUGGCGAAGGCGGCAUCCCUGGACCGAU